GGGUAGGGGAGGCGCUGGCAGCAUCCGGGGACCAUAACGGGUACAGGAGGUGCGCAGUCCCCGCCACGGUGCAGAGCUGCGUCCUCCGCUGGGACCAGGCCCGCAGCCCCUCCCGCCCCCAGCAUCUGAGCUCUGCCCCGGGGCUCCCAGCCCCCACCCCAUCGGAGAACCCAGGCCUGGGGGCACUGAGAGGGGAUCCUGGAGAAGCAGAGCUCCGUCCAGUGGGGUGACGGCUUUCGGUGAGCACGCUUCGUGUGGAGAGAGCCGGGCUCUGAUGGCGACAGAGGUGGCCCCAGAGAGGCUCCCAUGCACCUUCAGCCUCAGCGCUGAAGACUGACUCUGCCCAAGAGCGGCUCUUCCCUGCACAUCCGAGCAUCGCACGAGGCCUGACGGGUUCCUGGCGUCAACCUGUGGCUCCGUGGGGCGGGAGUCUGGACCUUCCUGCUGAGUUACAGACAGACACGGCCACCUUCGGUGGGGGGAAGGUCUUGGAAGGAAAGAUAGAGCCCCACGCACAAGGGGAAGGGGUCCCAGCCCAAGCCUGGUCCAGAAAGGUCUGAUUUGGAACCUGACUUAGCCACCACGUCUCCUCGGGCAGCUUACCUCUUUGGAAUCUUAGGUUCCUAUCUUCAAAAUAAUUAUAAUACCUUGGCAGGUGCAUCUGGGGAUUGAAUGAAAAGGUGAGUGGAA